GAUGAACGUUGGCGGCGUGCCUAAUACAUGCAAGUCGGACGUGAUCCAUUAGCAAUAAUGGUGAAAGUGGCGGACGGGUGAGUAACACAUGGCUGACCUGCCCUUCAGAGGGGGACAACCACUGGAAACGGUGGCUAAUACCCCAUACGUUCGCGGAGAUUAGAGGCUCUGCGAGGAAAGCCUUCGGGUGCUGAAGGAGGGGGCUGUGGCCCAUCAGCUAGUUGGUAGGGUAAAGGCCUACCAAGGCGAGGACGGGUAGGGGGCCUGAGAGGGUGAUCCCCCACACUGGAACUGAGAGACGGUCCAGACUCCUACGGGAGGCAG
rnacentral:rRNA from 1 species